rnacentral:lncRNA from 1 species
GUCGACCUCCUCCAUCUUGCUCUCGCCGGCAUCAUCCUCCAGAGGGGGCAUGUCGGUCUCAGCCUCAGUGGUCUCAUCCUCGUCAAUGCUCAGGCCAAGCUUGAGCAUGCGGUGGAUGCGGCUGCCAAAGGUGUUGGGCUCGUCAAGGCUGAAGCCGGAAGUGAGGAGCGCAGUCUCAAACAGCAGCAUGACAAGGUCCUUAACAGACUUGUCGUUCUUGUCAGCCUCAGCACGCUUGCGGAGCUCCUCCAUGAUGGCGUUCUCAGGGUUGAUCUCCAUGGUCUUCUUGGAGGACAUGUAUCCGGACAUGCUGGAGUCCCUCAGCGCCUGGGCCUUCAUGAUCCUCUCCAUGUUGGCCGUCCAGCCAUACUCGCCAGUGACCAGGCAGCAGGGGGAGUCCACCACACGGUCAGAGACCACCACCUUCUCAACCUUGUCACCCAGCACCUCCUUAAUCACCUUGCAGAGGCCCUCAAACUUCUCCUUGAGCUCCUCCUGCCUCUUCUUCUCGUCCUCAGUCUCAUCAAGCUUCAGGCCCUCCUUAGUGGCAGAGACGAGUUUCUUGCCCUCAAAUUCCUUCAGCUGGCCAAUGGCAUACUCAUCAAUUGCAUCCACCAUGUACAGGACUUCAUAGCCCUUCUUCUUCAGCUUCUCAAGGAAGGGGGAGUUCUCCACAGCCUUCUUGCUCUCACCAGUGAUGUAGUAGAUGUCGCUCUGGCCCUCCUUCAUCCUCGUCACAUAGUCCUUGAGGCUAGUCAGCUCAUCACCGCUCUUGGUGGAGUGGUACCUCAGGAGCUCAGCGAUCUUGGUCCUGUUCUGGGAGUCCUCGUGGAUGCCAAGCUUGAGGUUCUUGCAGAAGGCCUCAUAGAACUUGUUGUAGUCCUCCUUGUUCUCAGCAAUCUCGAAGAAGAGCUCAAUGCACUUCUUCACCAGGUUCUUGCGGAUAACCUUGAGGAUCUUGUUCUGCUGGAGGGUCUCACGGGAGAUGUUGAGGGGAAGGUCCUCAGAGUCAACGAUGCCCUUGACAAAGCUCAGCCACUCUGGGAUCAGCUCCUCACAGUUGUCCAUGAUGAAGACACGGCGCACAUAGAGCUUGAUGUUGUUCUGCUUCUUCCUGGUGUCGAAGAGGUCGAAGGGGGCCCUCUUGGGUACAAAGAGGACAGCCUUGAACUCAAGCUGACCCUCAACAGAGAAGUGCUUCACGGCAAGAUGCUCCUCCCAGUCGUUGGUCAAGCUCUUGUAGAAAGCAGCGUACUCUUCCUUGGUGAUCUCCUCAGGCUUCCUCAUCCAGAUAGGCUUCUGCUUGUUGACCAAUUGCCACUCGUGAGAAACCUCCUUGAUCUUCUUCUUUUUCUUCUCUUUCUCUUCCUUCUCCUCAUCAACAUCCUCAACCUUGCCCUCCUCAUCCUUCUUAUCUUCCUCAUCCUCAUCAUCAGAAAUCUCCUUCUCAGUGGUCUUCUCAGUCCAGAGAGAGAUGGGGUAGCUGAUGAACUCAGAGUGCUUCUUGAUCAGAUCCUUGAGGCGUCGCUCCUCAAGGUACUCCAACUGCAGAAAACAAGAGCAAAUUUUUGAGAAUAAGAAGAGAACUAAAUGAUGGAAUUAUUUACAGAUGUUCUAACAAACUCUAAAAAUCAUCAAUACAACAGCAUAAUUAGUACAGUUAAUGUCGAUGUCAUUAGUUUGCUAACAUAAUCCCAUAAUAUUGCCAGUUUCACUAUAAUGAUCAUACUUUAAGCACUCAUUCCAGAAAAAUAAACAUUACUACGAUUAAAAUAGCAUGAUAUGUUGUUCCUACUAAUCUGGGAAAUGCACAAACUAACAGCAAUAUCUCAAAUGUUCCUACUAAUCCUAGAGUGAAUCAAGCCCAGCCUCAAUAAUAAUCAAGUUCCUAUUAUCAACAUUUAUAAUCAGUUAUAACAAACAAAAGAUGUUGGAGGAAUAACAUGCUUACAAUUUAGCAAUAAGCCAACAAAAAAUCAGCACAAACUACAGCAUAAUAGAACAAUGUGAUUUCAACGAAGCAAUAGCAAAAACAGCAUCAGCACUAUCUAAAUAAUAACAAUAAUAAUCCUAUAAGUUAAAACAUGGCAGCAUCACCAUUAGUGAUUAACAUACAGCAACCUUCCAGGGAAUUUCUGCUAUACCUGAUCAUCCUUGAGGUAGAGGGUCAUCUUGGUACCCCUGCCAAGGGUCUCCCCAGAGGUAUCACGUGUGACGGUGAAGGAGCCACCAGCCUGAGACUCCCACACGUACUGCUCAUCAUCGUUGUGCUUGGUGGUCACAACAACUCUCUCAGCAACAAGGUAGGCAGAGUAGAAACCAACUCCAAACUGCCCAAUCAUAGACACAUCAGCACCAGCAGCCAGAGCCUCCAUGAACUCCUUUGUGCCUGACCGUGCAAUGGUACCAAGGUUGUUCACGAGGUCUGACUUGGUCAUACCAAUACCACUGUCAAUGAUUGUCAGAGUGUUGGAGGCCUUGUCAGGAACAAUGUGGAUGAACAGCUCUGGCUGGGCAUCGAGCUUGCUCUUGUCCGUCAAGCUCUCAAACCUGAUCUUGUCCAAGGCCUGUCAAAACGCACAAAAAUAAUAGUUCAGGAUUAUUAGGUCAGAAUAGGGUAAUCAGCUAUUUAGAUUAGCACCACUAAAUACAAUUAACCGCUACACGAUCAAUUUAAUCAAGUAGCUGUGAACCACCUACUACAAAGCCUUCUACCUUCCCAACAUAAACCGACCCUUCUAUCUAGCAAGACUAGAUAAAUUUUAUCAAUACCAAUCAUGCUUUCAUUUGUACAUUCUAGAUGAGCACUGAAAUAAACACAAUUAACUGCAUAACACACAAUCAACUUAACCUAGCAAAGACUAUAUUUAUCAAGACCAGUCGCGCUUUCACAGUUCUCACUGGCGCAUCAGAUCGUUCAGAUUAGUUAUCAACCUUGCAAGUACAUAUGCCACAGACACAACCGAGAUCUAACAAAAUUAUGAGCUAAUUUACGACUUCAAAAGUACAGGUUCACAUGCCGCGAAUUUAAGCUGAACAGUCAACGACGAACUAGGACAGAACCCUACAUAACCCCCCAUCACCAGAUCCGAAGUACGAUGCGAAAACAACGAUCUAUAGAACGACGCUAGGGUUUAGCGUACAGAUCUAGAACCGCAAACAGAAGAGCACGAGCGGGACCAGGUGGGGAACUUACAUCGGAGGAGUUGGAGAUGAGCUCCCGGAGGAAGAUCUCCUUGUUGGAGUAGAAGGUGUUGAUGAUGAGGGAUAGGAGCUGGUUGAUCUCCGCCUGGAAGGCGAACGUCUCCGUCUCGGAGGCCAUGGCGAAGCUUUCACGAACGCGAGGGGAGAGAGAGGCGGCGGCGGCGGCGCUUUGGGGGGAGGCAACGAGGGUUUGAGGCGAACCGAGGGAGCGUUGGGUUGGUCCUGGGGGUGGGGGGACUUAUAUGGAGGGGAGACAAGGGGUUCUGGAAUGUUCUACGAGAGACGGGAAGGGGUGGAGGGCGCGGGGAGCGGGUUGACACUGACUUGCCGAUGGGCCCGAAGUCUUCCGGGCCCGGCAGUGCCGGGGCUGAGUUCCUUCUUUUGGCCCGACGAGCCAGUGGCGUUGUGUCUUUGACUCUGUUUUUUUCAGACUGGUUCUAGAUCGAGCUGGGUUUGGAGCAUGAUUGCCUUACGAUUAACGGGCAGUUGGCAGGUCCAUCUACGAGCUCGUGUAUUGCUCACUAACUAUCGUAGUACGCACGAAAGGUUUUUUUUUGAAGGUCAACGGGGGAGUGCCCCACCUGAUUUCAUUAUAGGGCCUGAAGGUCGGCCAAAUGCAAGUACAUUAGAUCUUAAGCAAAAAAUAGGGCGGGGGAUGGAGAUUACAUUAGUUUACAUUGAACAAAAAAGUAAACACCAGGCAUCCGCUAUCUGACGAUCCUCGACCUUUAGUCGGUGGCUCCAUAGCCGGGCUUCAUCGCGGCAUGCGAGCCAGAAGCGCCCAAACGACGGGGUAAUGUUCUGGAAAACAAGCUCAUUGCGGGAUUUCCAUAGCAACCAACAGAUGAGAAGAAUGAAACUGGAGUAGUGGCGCCGCGGCACCGUCGUGGGGCGGGGAAUGUUCCACAGACAUCGAACCGAGACCUCAGUUGUAUCCGCGGACAGCGCCGACCAGACUUGAGCAGCAAAGCGGCAGUGAAGGAUCAGGUGAUCGCAAUCUUCUGGCUGGCCACAUAGCGCACACGCCGGGUCAGAGAGGAUGUGCUUCUUGACAAGAUUUGCACGGCAAUCCAUUCCUGAACCAUCAGCCAGGCGAAGAAAUACACUCGAGGGGGUGCUCGGUUGGACCAAACGAAUUUGGCAAAGUUGCAGGUAGGGGACCCGGUUGCUUCCAUGAUCUUAUUGUAGGCAGCACCAGAUUGGAAGGGCGCGUUUGGCGGGGCCAAAGUGCUGUGCCGUUGGUCUUCAGCACUGCUCAGGGCAAUAUGGCCAAUCCUGAGGUUCAGGUCGGCCAAUUCAGCAGCAGCCGCAUGGGUCCGCCUGGGCAUUAGGUGCCUGGGGAUCCCGUCGGCAAUGACCUGCGACACCGAGGCUUCCGGUUGUGUAGCAUGGGAGUACAGAGCGGGAUACAGUGCAGCCAGACGGCCAGCAGAUAGCCAUCUGUCAUGCCAGAAGCUCGUGCUCUCGCCAUUGCCAACUUCAGAGCUCGUGACAACACGGUAUAGCGGUAGCAUGCUGCCCAGUGCUGUCCAAUGGACACCUUCCAGGGUUCCUUGUAGCGAGGCUAGAUCAAUUCUUUCACGUACCCACCGCGCCUAGGAGGACUCCCCGGGCCGGAAGAUGCGGUGUAGAAGCUUCAGCAGCAAACUUUGGUUCUUCGCGCCAAGCUCCGUGAUGCCUAGCCCCCCUUGCUCUUUCGGCUGGCAGGCAUGUUCCCAGGCGACAAGACACUGAGCACCACUGACCGUAUCCUCUCCAUCCCAAAGAAAACUUUGUCGUCGAUGGUUUAAAGCAUCCACCACGCUAGGGGGAGGAGGAGGAGAAUGGACAUUGCAUACGUCAACUGGCUAUCCAUGACACUGUUUAUCAGCACAGCUCGCCCCGUGGAGUUGAGAAGGCAGGCGCGCCAUCCAUUGAGCCGUCGAUCUGCCCGGGCAAUCAGAGGGGUGAAGGCCGAGAGUUUGAGCUUCUCAUUUGAUAAGGGGAGACCCAAGUAAGUUUGAGGAAACGAGCCAAGUUGGCAACCAAGGACCUGCUGCAAGGCAGUUACCAGAUGUGUGUCAACAUUCAUAGGAACCAUUGUGCUUUUGCCAAAGUUUAUGUGCAACCCAGUGAGAUCAGAGAAAUGUUCCAGCACUCGCUUCAGGGCCACCACACUAUCACGGCCGGCCUGCAAGAGGAUCAAUGUAUCAUCCGCAUACUGUAACACCGGGCACAGUUGGUCAGAGCUGGCCGGGUGGAGUAUCAUGCGGUCUUGCUUGAUCAUUUGCUGGAGCACAUCUGAAACGAGCAGGAACAGGUAAGGAGACAGUGGAUCACCCUGUCGAAGACCGCGUUUGCAGGGAAACCAUGGCCCAGGCACUCCAUUCAUCAGCACCGCUAGCUUGGAGCUGUGCAGCAGCGAGAGGGUCCACGCAGUCCAUUGCGCAGGGAACCCCCGAGUGGCGAGAACGGCAGCCAGGCAGCGCCAAUCGACUGAAUCAAAUGCUUUUGCAAAGUCCAGCUUCAGGACCACAGUACGCAGUUUUCGUUUGUGGCAGCAUUGGAUCAACUCAGUUGCAUAGAUGAAAUUUUCAGAGAUUGAACGCCCCUUGAUGAAGCCUGUUUGGUCUGGGUCAACCAGCUUGGAGAUCUGACACUAGAGCCGUGAAGUCAUCAUUUUGGAGACUAUCUUGAGGGAGCAAUUUUGCAGGCAGAUCGGCCUGUAGUCGCCCGGCGACAUCGCUGCCUCAUUCUUCGGUAUCAUGACAAUAUAGGCACGGUUGAUACACUCGAGCUCGGCAGUCCCUUCCUAGAACGCCUGCGUGAGCGCCAUCACCGUGUGCCGUACUGUGUCCCAAGCAGCGGCAUAGAAGGAGGGGCCGAACCCGUCGGGGCCCGGUGAGCUUGUCCUGUUCAUCGCGCGGACAGUAGCUCGCGCUUCACUUUCGGUGAAGGGAGCAAGGAGCGGCGCGCUCGCCGCGCGCGGCAAGCCUGAGUACAAGGAUGCGAUGUCGACCCCGCUCAGGUUCACCGCGCGCUCGUCAAGCAAGCUCCGGAGGUGUACCGUGAGAGCUGUCAUCUUCUCCUGGUGUGAGCUCAGCACCACCCUGUUGAUGUUUAGGGCACGGAUGUUAUUCCGGCGCAGCCGGAGGGUGGCCUGCGCGUGGAAAAACUGCGUGUUCGCAUCGCCUUCCCGCAUAGCGCGGAACUUGCCACGUUGUUUCCAGAACGCGGCCCGUUCGCGCAGCACCAGUGCAAGCCUGCCUUGACACGCCUGACGCAGCAGCGCUUCGCCUGGAGAAAGACAGCGGAAGUCUUCGAACACAUCAAGCAAAUAUAUGACAAAUUUACAGUUGGAGGGGAGAGCGGGAGGAGCGCGCUUACAUCGCGCCCAGGCCUUAGACGCACAGCGGACUGUCUUGAGCGCAUGAGCAAUCGCGCUAGCCGCAUCAGAGUCACCGUUCUGAGCCCAAGCUAGCAGGAUGGUAGGGAGGUAGUUUAUAUCCUUAAGCUAGGAGUUUUCAAAACGGAAGACGUUGGCUUUCGGGAUAGAGGUGGACAUUUGAAGGAGGAGAGGGGUGUGAUCAGAGGUGGGUUUUGGUAAGGAACACAGGGAGGAGUUCGGGAAGGUUGUGCUCAUCGCUAGGUUGAAGAGAGCGCGGUCGAGGCGGGUGAGAGUAGGGGAAUCGCGGUGGUUGGACCAGGUGAAAAGGCGGUCUAGGAGAGGCAGGUCAAGGAGGGAGAGCCCGUCGAUAGUAGCAUUGAAGGCAUCGCAGAGGGCGUGAUGGGAGGAGCCGUUGCUGUUUUCUUGGCCACUCCUAGUUAGGUUGAAGUCUCCCACCAACGCCCAGCUCCCAGUAACGUGCUGGGCGAGUUCAUGCAGGUCUUCAAGGAAGGACAGAGAGUCGCGAUGGUCCGCGGGAGCAUAGACGUUAGUAACAGCGAAGGAGUAGUUUGAGGCCGUGGAGGAAAGGAAAGUAGUAAGAGUAUGGCGUCGAGUGAUGAAAGAAUCUAAGGUGAACAUCGACGGAUCCCACGCAGUGAUUAUUCCACCACGCGUGUCUGAAGCAUCAACACAGCGGAAGGCGGUGAUGGUUGGAGGCAGGAAGGAACGAGCUUUGAGGCCAUCCAGGCCACGCAGCUUGGAUUCCUGUAACAUACAAUGCUAGAAUGCGAGGAGGAAAUAGAGUCCUUAGCAACAGUGCACUUGUGCGGAUCUCCGAGGCCAUGAACAUUCCAGGAUAGAAGGGAAAAGGAACUCAAACUAAGAUUCAUAGGUACGAUUACAACACCAGAACAGGAGCAGAAGAACAUCAACUAAAGGCACAAGACAAAGAGCUAAGACACUGGAAGACCAAACACUAGAGCCAUGGCGAAGUAACAUCAGAAUCACACAGGCGGCAGAUAACUGGUGUUUCUGCAAAGAGCGGGCAAGCAGCAGAAACAAGCACAAGCCUUCUUGAGUUCAGGCAUCAAGAGCAUCAAGCACCUUGUUCAGCUGAGCGGUAGUGGCCUUCCCGAUAGCAAGGACCCAGUACAGAGCCUUGGCCGUCUCCUGACCGAGCCCAAUAGCAUCGGCAAGCUUCACUAAGUCCGCUCCAGAGAUUGGCUUCUUCUUCCUCGUCAACAGCUUCUUCUUGGCAACAUGGGCUUGAACUGCAGACGAACAGAGCGCGAGGCUAUCACGGAGAGCUUUGAGCUGGGCUGCUUUGGAAGUGGCAUCCACGAAUUUUCCAUCUUCUUUUGCUGCCAGGCGGGCGCUGUGGCGUUUGCGGAGGGGUGGGCGAGAUGGGCAGCGGGGGGGCGCAUCUGAUGUUGCAGGUGGCGGGGUUGGAGGGGAGGGCGCAGCAGUGCCGAGAGGUGGCAUGGGAGAGUGUGCUGGCAACGGCGUGUUGGGAGGCGUGGGUGGCAGGCAUGGCUCAGGCGCAGCGGGGCGCCAGGUAAGGAGCGGGACCGGUCUGGCGCCAUAGCUCCCCAGGUCUCCGCUGGUGUCUGUGGGGGGUAACUGGAUCAGGAUGGGGAAAGCGGGCAGGGGCGGUAGGGGUAAAGGAUUUAUGAAGCCGUGGCAGAGGAUGGAGGCGCCAGUGAACGAAGCUGGGUGUAGCGGCGUGGGAUGCCGCUGCUCGGGCGGGUAUGCGGCUGGUGGGGGCGGAGGCGCUGGGUUGUUAGGCGGCAGAGGGGGGUGCAGGUCGUUGUUUUGAGGAGGUGGCAGUGGUGGCGGAGUUGGGCCAAAGAACGGGAUCUAGUCCCCCGCCUCGUCGAACUGCUGCUCGCGCGGCCAGAAGGUCAGACCGCCCAGGCGCAGAACGACACCGCGGCCGCUCGGGGUGUGGACUCCGAGGCGGCUGGGGAGAUGAGGGUGCUGCAGCUCAAUCACCACACGCAUGCAGGAACGGUCGAAGCCAGGGCUGCAAAAGGGAUCCACUUCCACAAGGGUACCGACGCAGCGUAGGAUGUCACGCACCUGCUCGACCGACCAGUGCUCAGGAGGCAGAUUCCAGAUGGCAACGUGCGCAAGCCACUCUGGCUCACGAACGAAGCGAUCAUCAGUUUCCUCCGCGCGCUCAAGCGUGACAGUGGCGUCGUUAAUAUGCACCGGCUGCACGUCCAUUGCCAUCUCCCGCGCCGCGGGAGAGCCAAAGUGCAGCAGCGCCACGCCACGCGGCGACGGGAGCAGCUGGAAGCGCAUGUGCGGCGCCGCGACAUGGAGCGCGGCGUGGAUCAGAGGGGAGGGGGCCGCUGCAGCAGCCAGGGGGUCCACGUAAACAAAGGCAAAGCGGGAGGCGUGGUCCCAGUCACCUUCGUUGACCCAGACCUCCAGGUAGUCGGGGCCGUCGUCGAAGGCGUCGUUGUCUACCGACUCCUCCUCCAGGGCGCUGUUGGCCUCGCCGUUGGACAUGCUCGCCGAAGCGUUGGACGCGCCCCUCCGCGGAUACACUGGGUCCACAGGCGCAGCGAGUCCCGGCGGCGGCGUCAGGGGAGGCGAGCACCCGGGGACGGGCGUGUUGGCACCAGACGCGCGACGCGGAGAGGCGACGCCAACGACACGGAUGUCGCGUGCUUUAGGAAUGGCACGCGACGCGCGGAGCUGGGGGGAGGAGGGUUCACCAAGCGCCACGCGCUUGCCCUUGUCCAGGGGCUCGCGGAAGAGGUCACCGAGGUAGAACGGCCCCUCCUCCGUGGCAAGGUGGCGCGGUUCAGCCACACGCUCCGCGACCGCGGGGGCAUGGCUUGUGGAGGCAAGCAUACGCAGCAGGUCGAAGGCCGUGGUGAAAGGAGGGAGGUUGAGCGGGGUGGGCGGAGGCGUUGGCGUGGCGGAAGGCGGAGGCGAACUGCGGGGGAGGAAGGGGACCGCGUUGAUUGGCACACGUGACGCGGGGAGUGGGAUUGUGGGACGGCGGCGCGGGUGGGGAGUCUGCUCACGUGGGAACGCCAUGGGGCAAGCGUAGCCGCGGUGCCCAGACCCACGACAAAAGCGGCAGCGUAUAGGAUCUCUACAGUCCCGAACGCGGUGGUCGCGAGAAAGACAGCGAUGGCAGCCGCCGUGGUGGAGGGGGAUGGGUUUUUGUUUGGAAAAAAAAAAGAGAGUCCAGUAUAAGGUGUUUUCAGCUAGAGAAAACUUUGCGUUUGGAAGCACUAAUAGUAAGACUAUCGUGAUCACAAUAAUUUUCAAAUUUCGUGGAAUUUAUCCUCCCUUUUAGCAUCGGGAGAGAGUAGACCUUGUCUCCUUUUUUUAUGCAACUUGCAGGGGAGUUUAUGAAGGGAAUAUAGGUGUAGUUAACUACUAACUUACUAGGUUCGCAAAACAAACUACUAACUUACUAAGUGACUACUGUCCAAUUGUCAUAUGCUUGCUUUCAAAAGUCCAAAAAAACUGCACCGAUAAUGAAGAUACAGAAUGGCGAGUGAUGCGUUCAGUCAAACACAUUCAGAUCGCGGCAGAACUCUUGUUACCACAUGCAGCUAUAAACCAAUUUUAAUGUGCGUCCUUUUUAGCCCCUGCAGUUUUUAUGGGUAUCCUCGAAAAAAAGCAAAAGAAAAAAUUAAGGCAAUGAUAGGGUAAACUUAUUUUGCAACAGAUUGUAAUUCAGCAUAUUUAUUGCUGGAUGCUAAGUUGCUGACAAAAAAAGAGGAAAAGCGAAAAAUUAUCCUUUUCUUUGCAGAGCGAACGGAAUCAAUACCCUGAUCCUGAAACCGGGGGACCAGAUGGAACAGCCAACGCCCAACAGGAGAUAGUUAAUUCUAUUUUCCAAUUCUGUAACUUCAAGUAAUAUGUGCCUUAGUAGAUCUGCUAUAACACGUUUCCUUCUUUACCAACUAUAUUGAUCCAUUCAGCAGAAAAUUUUAGCUACUUUUAAGUUGUUCUAUAUCUGUGCGAAAUUGUGUGCUAUUCUAGGGCUCUAUUAAAUAUGAGCCCGUUCGGUAGAGAUUGCUGCUGCAACGCCGCGACUGCAGCUGCAAUAGCCAAGCAAGCAUUCUGAGUCUGAAUUGUGGACCUGCUGUCCCGUGCAGGCGUGCAGCUGCAGCUGCUUAUGCAGCCAGCACAAACGAACAGCAGCUAUAAAGCUAUGUUAACCCAUUUACCCCACAACUACUCCACACAUCUGGGUAAUGAUUAUGUCAGCUAUUGGAAUGAAAAUGGAGCUUAUCAUAUACACAUAAAAGCAAUCACCUACCUAUCAUUUCAAUUUUUACACCUUUUUGGUUUUAAGCAAUGAUAGUUGUUUACUAAGUUUGAUCAAGCUUAUUGGCACUUUUCAGCUGAGUGUUUAAAAGUCAGACACCAUACUGAGAUUGAAUAAUACAUAAAUGCAUGGAGGAUUGCUCUUUAACAAAAUGUAAGUUUGUUCUCUGCUGCGAAAUGGUCUCUAGCUUAGUGGUUAGAAUGCCUAAGUAGUACUAGUAAGCCUGGAUUCAACUUCCCGUGGAAGCUAAUUAAAUGGAUCUAGAAUAAAAAAAAUAGGAAGGAGUUUCCCCUUCUGACUACGAGGACAUAUGCGUUUUCCUUGAAAGACUCUUUAUAUGGUGUAUUCCUAAUCUUUAGAUUGUGACUGUUUAAUGGAUGAGACCGACGCGUCUCUAUGACAUGAUUGUUGUAACUAUUGUAACAUUUUAAGUUCUUUCAUCUCAUUUGUUGGGUACAUACAUGAAUGAUGAGUUUGUUUUUGGAUGACGACUGUUGUGCUAAUUAGAUAAGCUAAUUAUACUUUUUUACAUAAAAAAGCUACUGAUUCUUGGCAUCACAAGUUUGAAGUACCGUUUUCCUGCAUCAUCCGCUGCAUUUAGAAAACCCCUUUUUUUAGAGGAUCCCCUCAAUAUCUCCAGCGCACUGGAUACAGGCGCGGCGAAGCGCGCUGAUCAUCCUAGUUAUUAAUAGUCCCCGUAACAUUGCCCCCCGAGUUUGCGUGUCAGCAUGUCACAAUGUGCUACACUGCUAGCACUCUUGAUUCUAUCUUGUGCAUAUUCUUGUUGGAUUCACAAGAUCAGAUGCACACAGAUUAACCAACAAAUCUUUUUUCUGUAAGAUAUCGAGACCACUGCCUGGUAAUCACUGCAGAGGCCGGGGCAAAUUUUAUUAACCUGCCGGAUUGCAAAACCACAAAACACGCAAAUGCCCUAAUUAAUUCAAAUCAACUAUUAAAAUAAUGCGGUGCAAGUGAAAGUAAAACGGAUAGAAGCUUAAGAAAAAAGUGACACGAAAAACAGAAUGCAAACGAGAAGAAACAGAAGUUAGAAGAUAACAGGAUAAUAAUAAUGCUACUAUACCACCGACAACUAACGUACGCAGUUCGAUAACCCUAGCACCACGCAUGCAGAUGCAGGCUAGGAAAAGUAGCACCCCACAAAAUAAACAAAAAACUCAAGGUUCAGGAAUAACCAGAAUAACUAAGCUCUCGACUCGAGAAAACCACCAAGCAGCGCUUAGUCGACCUCCUCCAUCUUGCUCUCACCGGCAUCGUCCUCAAGAGGGGGCAUGUCACUGUCAGCCUCCGGGGUUUCGUCCUCGUCGAUGCUCAGGCCUAGCUUUAGCAUUCGGUGGAUGCGGCUGCCAAAGGUGUUGGGGUCAUCGAGGCUGAAGCCAGAGGUGAGGAGCGCAGUAUCAAACAGCAGCAUGACAAGGUCCUUAACAGACUUGUCGUUCUUGUCAGCCUCAGCACGCUUGCGGAGCUCAUCCAUGAUGGCGUUCUCAGGGUUGAUCUCCAUGGUCUUCUUGGAGGACAUGUAUCCGGACAUGCUGGAGUCCUUCAGCGCCUGGGCCUUCAUGAUCCUCUCCAUGUUGGCGGUCCAGCCAUACUCACCAGUGACCAGGCAGCACGGGGAGUCCACCACACGGUCAGAGACCACCACCUUCUCAACCUUGUCACCCAGAACCUCCUUAAUCACCUUGCAGAGGCCCUCAAACUUCUCCUUGAGCUCCUCCUGUCUCUUCUUCUCGUCCUCAGUCUCAUCCAGCUUCAGGCCCUCCUUAGUGGCAGAGACGAGUUUCUUGCCCUCAAAUUCCUUCAGCUGGCCAAUGGCAUACUCAUCAAUUGCAUCAACCAUGUACAGGACUUCAUAGCCCUUCUUCUUCAGCUUCUCAAGGAAGGGGGAGUUCUCCACAGCCUUCUUGCUCUCACCAGUGAUGUAGUAGAUGUCGCUCUGGCCCUCCUUCAUCCUUGUCACAUAGUCCUUGAGGCUAGUCAGCUCAUCACCGCUCUUGGUGGAGUGGUACCUCAGGAGCUCAGCGAUCUUGGUCCUGUUCUGGGAGUCCUCGUGGAUGCCAAGCUUGAGGUUCUUGCAGAAGGCCUCGUAGAACUUGUUGUAGUCCUCCUUGUUCUCGGCAAUCUCGAAGAAGAGCUCAAUGCACUUCUUCACCAGGUUCUUGCGGAUGACCUUGAGGAUCUUGUUCUGCUGGAGGGUCUCACGGGAGAUGUUGAGGGGAAGGUCCUCAGAGUCAACGAUGCCCUUGACAAAGCUCAGCCACUCUGGGAUCAGCUCCUCACAGUUGUCCAUGAUGAAGACACGGCGCACAUAGAGCUUGAUGUUGUUCUGCUUCUUCCUGGUGUCGAAGAGGUCGAAGGGGGCCCUCUUGGGUACAAAGAGGACAGCCUUGAACUCAAGCUGACCCUCAACAGAGAAGUGCUUCACGGCAAGAUGCUCCUCCCAGUCGUUGGUCAAGCUCUUGUAGAAAGCAGCGUACUCUUCCUUGGUGAUCUCCUCAGGCUUCCUCAUCCAGAUAGGUUUCUGCUUGUUGACCAAUUGCCACUCGUGAGAAACCUCCUUGAUCUUCUUCUUUUUCUUCUCUUUCUCUUCCUUCUCCUCAUCAACAUCCUCAACCUUGCCCUCCUCAUCCUUCUUAUCUUCCUCAUCCUCAUCAUCAGAAAUCUCCUUCUCAGUGGUCUUCUCAGUCCAGAGAGAGAUGGGGUAGCUGAUGAACUCAGAGUGCUUCUUGAUCAGAUCCUUGAGGCGUCGCUCCUCAAGGUACUCCAACUGCAGAAAAUAGAAGAAAAUUAUAAGAGAGUGUUCAAACUGAUGGAAUUACUCUCAGAUAUUCAAACGUCAAAAACUCAAAUAUUCAGUAGAACAGUAAAUUUAAGACAGUUAAUGAUUAUCACUGUACAUCAACUUGUUGAUAUAAUCCCAAAAUAAUGUCAUAACUAGACACACAUGCAAAACAAAAUUUCAGUUUCUCUAUAAUUAUAGUAUCUGAAGAGCAAAGUUAUUCCAAAAAAAGACUACGAUUAGAUAAAUAGCAUGCUACAUUGUUCUUACCAAUCAGGGAAAUGCGUUAUCUAACAGCAAUAUCCCAAAUGAUCCUCUAAGAGUGAAUCUAAUGUAAUCCACAUUUACAGUUAGUUAUAACAAACCAAACAUAUUGGAGCUAUAUAUGCUUUCAAUUCAGCUUCCCAACAGAUCAGCACCACAAACUAACAUAGCAUAAUGGAACCGUGUGAUUUCAACAAAGGUACGACCAAAAAGCAUCAGCUGUAUCUAAAUAAUCCUAUAAAACAGUAAAUAACUAUGGCAGCAUCACCAAUAGUAAUUAACACACCACAGGCACUAAUCCGGGAAGUUUCUGCUAUACCUGAUCAUCCUUGAGGUAGAGGAUCAUCUUGGUACCCCUGCCAAGGGUCUCCCCAGAGGUAUCACGUGUGACGGUGAAGGAUCCACCAGCCUGAGACUCCCACACGUACUGCUCAUCGUCGUUGUGCUUGGUGGUCACAACAACUCUCUCAGCAACAAGGUAGGCAGAGUAGAAACCAACUCCAAACUGACCGAUCAUAGACACAUCAGCACCAGCAGCCAGAGCCUCCAUGAACUCCUUUGUUCCUGACCGUGCAAUGGUACCAAGGUUGUUCACGAGAUCUGACUUGGUCAUACCAAUACCACUGUCAAUGAUUGUCAGAGUGUUGGAGGCCUUGUCAGGAACAAUGUGGAUGAACAGCUCUGGCUGGGCAUCGAGCUUGCUCUUGUCCGUCAAGCUCUCAAACCUGAUCUUGUCCAAGGCCUGUCAAAGCCCACAAAAACAUUCAGGGUUGGAUUGAUACAUCAUUCAGUGCUUACAAAGUAAUUAAAUGAAACGUGCACAGCUUUCACUAUUAUUAUUUAUCAGGAGGUUAUUCUGUCAGAAUAGGGUAACAAGGUAUUUACUGCACUAAACACGAGUAACCACUACACACAAUCAAUUUAACCAUGUAGUUGUUGAAGCACCAACUACAAAGCCUUCUACCUUCCCAGCAUAAUCCAUUCUGACAUAGGAAGACCAGAUAAAUUUAUUUUGUCAAGACCAAUCAUGCUUGCAUUUGUACAUUCAAGAUUAGCACUGCAAUAAACACAAUUAACUGCAUCAACACGCAAUCAACUUAACCAUGUAGCUGUUGAAGCACGUACUACAAUAAACCAGCCUAGCAAAGAUUACAUUUAUCAAGAUCAAUCACGCUCUCACGGUUCUCGCUAGGGUUUCAGAUCGUUCAGAUUAGUCAUAAACCUUGCAAGUACAGAUGCCACAGACACAGCCGAGAUCUGACAAAAUUACUAUUUACGACUUCAGAAGUACAGGUUGAUAUGUCGUGGAUUUAAGCUGAAUAGUCAACCACGAACUAGCACAAAACCCUAUAUAACCCCCUAUCACCAGAUCCGAAGUACGAUGCGGAACCCACCGAUCCAUUGAACGACACGAGGGCUUAGCGCACAGAUCUAGAGCCGCAAACAGAAGAGCACGAGCGGGUAGGGGGGAAACUUACAUCGGAGGAGUUGGAGAUGAGCUCCCGGAGGAAGAUCUCCUUGUUGGAGUAGAAGGUGUUGAUGAUGAGGGAGAGCAGCUGGUUGAUCUCCGCCUGGAAGGCGAACGUCUCCGUCUCCGAGGCCAUGGCGAGACCUUGCUUCCGAACGCGAGGAGAGGGCGGCGGCGCUUGGGAGGAGGCGACGAGGGUUUGGGGGAAACCGAGGGAGCCUGAGAUGAGAUGGGGAGGCGGCCAGGCGGGUGCCCUGUGGGGUGAUAUAUUGGGGGCGGGUUGACUGACUUCCCGUUGGGCCGAAGUCUUCUAGGCCCAGCCGUGCUGGGGCUGGAGGCCCCGUGGCCCACGAGUCAGUGGGCGUUGUGUCUUUCUUUUUUCAGACUUGGAAGGUUCUAGAGCGAGGUGGGUUUAGAGCAUGAUUUACCUUACGAUUAACGGGCAGUUGGCAGGUCCAUCUACGAGCUCGUGUAUUGCUUGAUUUACGAAAGGUUUUUUGUUUUGAAAAAAAUAAUGAAGAGUCCAGUAUAAGAUUUGCACGAACUUUUUCUCGUGUUUUGAGUUGCGUUUGGGAGCUUUGAUAAUACGUCUGUCGACUGUCGUGAUCGCAAUAAUUUCCAAAUUCUGUGAAAUUUCUGCUCCGUUUAAGAACGGGAGAUAGUAGACACUGUCUCUAUUUAAUGCAACUUGCAGGGAAGCUUCUGGAAGGAAAUAUAAGUGUACUUUACCAAAAGAUUACCAUCUAAUUGUCUUUCCAUUUUAGGAGUUCGUAACAACCACACUGAUAAUGAAUAUACAGAACGGCGAGUGAUGUGUCAAACAAACACAUUUCAGAUUACGUGAACCCUCCUACACACCGCUAUAAACCAAUUUUGACGUGAAUUCUUUUUAGCCCUAUGCAGUUUGUAUCCUCAGAAAAAAAAGCAAAAGAAAAAAAAAUAUAAUCAUAUAGUAGACUUAUUUUGCAAUAGCUUAUAAUUCAAUGUACUUAUAGCUGAAUGCUAAGUUGCAGACAUAAAAGGAGAAAGCGAAAAAACAAUCCUUUCCUUCGCAGCGCGAGCCUAUUCCCUGAACCGGGGGACCAGGUGGAACAGCCAACGCCCAACAUGAACGGAGCUGGGUACACGAUCCCAGGCUUGAUAGCUUUUAUUAGUAAUUUGAAUUUGGGAUGCAAAUUUUGGUUCCAUGCGCGCAAUUGGUAAAUGGUAACAUCUGGACUUGUUGCGCGCACUCCAUCUAUCGUUUACAUGUGGGUUUAAUCAAAUCUAGUGUGUAAUGGAAAAAAUAAGGUGCUCUAGCUUUAGUUUCCUCACUAUUUUGCUAGCCGGUGUACUGGCGCGGCCUAAGGUAGUAAAAUAGUAUGAAACUGCUAAUUAUUUUCUUUGAACUAAAAAUUCUAGCGGAUUAUACACGGUUCUCCAAAUCUUACUCCCCAGGUACAUGUGGUGCUGCAUCUGCUUUAGAUUUGGAGGUGCAGGCCCGCAGUCCAUCACUGAAGUAAUGAAGCUACCAAUAAAUUGUGGAUGUAUUUUGAUAGGCAAAAAGUCUUCCGAAGUAUAUAUUGGCUCCUAGUUUCUCUUGCAACAUUUUGGCAAUCGCUACUAAGUAGUUAAUCUCAUCAUCAAGACAAUCUAUUGAUGUUACUUUAUUACUGCACUAAACGUGAUUUGACUGAGGUUAGUAACUUUUCAUGGAUUAAAAUAUGCCUUGCAUUCAUAAAUAGAGGGAGUAUCAUCUGAACCACAACUCCUAUUGUCUCCAGUUUGUUGGCCAUCACAUUCGAGUAAUAAAACUAUGUGUGUUAUUAGAAAAUAGUUCUGGUAACACUGAUGAAAAUUGCUGCAUCCUUGCAUAUUACUUUGAAAAUGCUAGUCAUACAUUGUAGAACCCAUAAUUCAUCUAUAAAGUAAAUGUUACGUCAGAUAUUAUACUCUAUCCAGCCCAAAUUAGUAUUAGCUGUUUUGAUUUUUCUAAAUUUAUAAAUUUUAUUAUGCACAACCGAAAUGAUUAAUAAUUUAGGAUAGAGGAGCCCUAUGUUCAUAUAUAAAGUACUUCAUUAAAAUGGCUAAGUUUAUUGCAUCAUGGUGCUACCACACUCUAAUUUUAUAUGUUAAGUACUACUACCCACUUUUUUAAUGGUUUGUAUUACCUUUUUUAUAUGAAAUACUCCCCAUUAACAUGGCUAAUGCACAUCAUUGCUGGAUUUACACGAUCAUAUGCACACUGAUCAGCCACCAAAUCUUUUUUUGGUGUAACAUAUCCACAUACAAUCACAAGUGCAGACCACUGCCUAGUGGUAAUCAACGCAGAGGCUGGGGCCAAAUUUUAUUAACCUCUCGGCUUGAAAAGCCACAGCUGAAUCCGCAAAACUCGCAAAUGCCCAGUUAAUUCGGAUCAACUACUAAAAAAAUGCACUGCAAGUGAAAGUAAAGUGGAUAAAUUGAGCUUAAGAAAAGAAAGUGAUACAAAAAUAGGGAUGAAAUUUGCAACAGAAAAUCUCUAACUCAUUUACCACCUACCAGAGCACGUUUGAAAUUGUUUUCAUAUAAAUAAUAUCAUCUCCAAUAACCAUAUUAAAUGAGUUUUUCAAUUUCUUAUUAGUUGCCACUGAUUAGUUUAAUACUAGUGAAACCGGCAAAAUUUCGGUUAAUCCUUUAUGUAUAUUAUCGUUACCGACCGUUUCCUAAAAGAACAGAUUGCAAAGCGAGAAAAAACAGUAAUUCGAAGACAGCAGGUUAAUAAUAACACUAUUAUACCACCGAUACUUAACCUACGCAGUUCGAUAAUCCACGGCACCAUAGCAUCUAGCCCCACGCAUUGCAGGCUAGGAAAAGUACCACACAAAACACACCGACAACUCAACUUUCAGGGAUAACCAGAACAGCUAAGCUAACUCAGACUCAAAAGUUGCACCCGGGCGCGCUUAGUCGACCUCCUCCAUCUUGCUCUCACCAGCGUCGUCCUCCAGAGGGGGCAUGUCGGUGUCAGCCUCCGGGGUCUCGUCCUCGUCGAUGCUCAGGCCCAGCUUGAGCAUGCGGUGAAUGCGGCUGCCGAAGGUGUUGGGGUCGUCAAGGCUGAAGCCAGAGGUGAGGAGCGCAGUCUCGAACAGCAGCAUGACAAGGUCCUUCACAGACUUGUCGUUCUUGUCAGCCUCAGCACGCUUGCGGAGCUCCUCCAUGAUGGCAUUCUCAGGGUUGAUCUCCAUGGUCUUCUUGGAGGACAUGUAUCCGGACAUGCUGGAGUCCCUCAGGGCCUGGGCCUUCAUGAUCCUCUCCAUGUUGGCAGUCCAGCCAUAUUCACCAGUGACCAGGCAGCAGGGGGAGUCCACCACACGGUCAGAGACCACCACCUUCUCAACCUUGUCACCCAGCACCUCCUUAAUCACCUUGCAGAGGCCCUCAAACUUCUCCUUGAGCUCCUCCUGCCUCUUCUUCUCGUCCUCAGUCUCAUCAAGCUUCAGGCCCUCCUUAGUGGCAGAGACGAGUUUCUUGCCCUCAAAUUCCUUCAGCUGGCCAAUGGCAUACUCAUCAAUUGCAUCCACCAUGUACAGGACUUCAUAGCCCUUCUUCUUCAGCUUCUCAAGGAAGGGGGAGUUCUCCACAGCCUUCUUGCUCUCACCAGUGAUGUAGUAGAUGUCGCUCUGGCCCUCCUUCAUCCUCGUCACAUAGUCCUUGAGGCUAGUCAGCUCAUCACCGCUCUUGGUGGAGUGGUACCUCAGGAGCUCAGCGAUCUUGGUCCUGUUCUGGGAGUCCUCGUGGAUGCCAAGCUUGAGGUUCUUGCAGAAGGCCUCAUAGAACUUGUUGUAGUCCUCCUUGUUCUCAGCAAUCUCGAAGAAGAGCUCAAUGCACUUCUUCACCAGGUUCUUGCGGAUAACCUUGAGGAUCUUGUUCUGCUGGAGGGUCUCACGGGAGAUGUUGAGGGGAAGGUCCUCAGAGUCAACGAUGCCCUUGACAAAGCUCAGCCACUCUGGGAUCAGCUCCUCACAGUUGUCCAUGAUGAAGACACGGCGCACAUAGAGCUUGAUGUUGUUCUGCUUCUUCCUGGUGUCGAAGAGGUCGAAGGGGGCCCUCUUGGGUACAAAGAGGACAGCCUUGAACUCAAGCUGACCCUCAACAGAGAAGUGCUUCACGGCAAG